GCUAAGACCGCAUAAGCUCACAUUGAGUAAGUAGUUGUGAGAAAAGGCUGAGGUGCUUGAGGACGGGGCUGCGGUCCAUCAGCUAGUUGGUGGGGUAAGAGCCUACCAAGGCGACGACGGAUAGGGGGCCUGAGAGGGUGGUCCCCCACACUGGGACUGAGACACGGCCCAGACUCCUACGGGAGGCAGCAGUGAGGAAUAUUGCACAAUGGGCGCAAGCCUGAUGCAGCGACGCCGCGUGGGUGAAGAAGGUUUUCGGAUCGUAAAGCCCUUUUCUGUGUGACGAGAAAGGACGGUAGCACAUGAUUAAGUCUCGGCUAACUACGUGCCAGCAGCCGCGGUAAAACGUAGGAGGCAAGCGUUAUCCGGAGUUACUGGGCGUAAAGAGCGUGUAGGCGGGGAUGCAAGUCCGUUGUGAAAGCUCCCGGCUAAACUGGGAGAGGUCAGUGGAGACUGCAUACCUAGAGAGCAUUAGAGGGAAGCGGAAUUCCGGGUGUAGUGGUGAAAUGCGUAGAUAUCCGGAGGAACACCAGAGGCGAAGGCGGCUUCCUGGGAUGCAACUGACGCUGAGACGCGAAAGCACGGGUAGCGAACGGGAUU
rnacentral:rRNA from 1 species